AGAGUUUGAUUCUGGCUCAGAACGAACGCUGGCAGCGUGGAUGAGGCAUGCAAGUCGAACGGGAAUCCCGGGUAUAGCGAUAUAUCUGGGAGGAUAGUGGCGAAAGGGUGAGUAACACGUGGGCAAUCUGCCCCGGAGCUGGGGAUAACCCGCCGAAAGGCGGGCUAAUACCGAAUGUGGUUAUGCUACGCAUGUAGCAUGGACUGAAGGCGGGGACCGCAAGGCCUGCCGCUCCAGGAGGAGCCCGCGUCCCAUCAGCUAGUUGGUGAGGAACGGCCCACCAAGGCUUACGGGUAGCUGGUCUGAGAGGAUGGUCAGCCACACUGGGACUGAGACACUGCCCAGACUCCUACGGGAGGCUGCAGUCGAGGAUCUUCUGCAAUGGGCGCAAGCCUGACAGAGCGACGCUGCGUGGAGGAUGAAGGCCUUCGGGUCGUAAACUCCUGUCAUUUGGGAACAAUAGGCGACGGGCUAAUACCCCGACGCAUUGAUGGUACUAGAAGAGGAAGCCACGGCCAACUCUGUGCCAGCAGCCGCGGUAAUACAGAGGUGGCAGGCGUUGUUCGGAUUUACUGGGCGUAAAGGGCGCGUAGGCGGAAUCGUGUGUCGGACGUGAAAUCCCACUGCUCAACGGUGGAACUGCAUCCGAAACUGCGGAUCUAGAGUACGGGAGAGGAGAGCGGAAUUCUUGGUGUAGCGGUGAAAUGCGUUGAUAUCAAGAAGAACACCGGUGGCGAAGGCGGCUCUCUGGAACGUUACUGACGCUGAGGCGCGAAAGCUGGGGGAGCAAACAGGUUUAGAUACCCUGGUAGUCCCAGCCCUAAACGGUGUGCACUUGGUGUGGGGGAGUUGACCCCUCCGUGCCGGAGCUAACGCGUCAAGUGCACCGCCUGGGGAGUACGGUCGCAAGAUUAAAACUCAAAGAAAUUGACGGGGGCUCGCACAAGCGGAGGAGCAUGUGGCUCAAUUCGAUCCACGCGAAGAACCUUACCAGGACUUGACAUGUAGGUGCACGCCUGCCGAAAGGCAGGAAGCCUUCGAGGGUCCUACACAGGUGCUGCAUGGCUGUCGUCAGUUCGUGCCGUGAGGUGUUGGGUUAAGUCCCGCAACGAACGCAACCCCUGUGUCUAGUUGCGACUCCCGAUGAUAAGUCGGGAAGCACUUUAGACAUACUGCCCUUAGCGGAGGAAGGUGGGGACGACGUCAAGUCAGUAUGGCCCUUAUGUCCUGGGCUGCACACGUGCAACAAUGACCGGUACAGAGGGAAGCAAGACCGCGAGGUGGAGCAAAUCCCCAAAACCGGCCCCAGUUCAGAUUGGAGUCUGCAACUCGACUCCAUGAAGCUGGAUUCGCUAGUAAUGGCGCAUCAGCUACGGCGCCGUGAAUACGUUCCCGGGCCUUGUACACACCGCCCGUCACAUCAUGAAAGCCGUCUGCACCCGAAGCCGGUGAGCGAACCUGAAAAGGACGCAGCUGUCUAAGGU
rnacentral:rRNA from 1 species